rnacentral:rRNA from 1 species
GACGAACGCUGGCGGCGUGCUUAACACAUGCAAGUCGAGCGAGAAACCCUCUUCGGAGGGGAGUACAGCGGCGAACGGGUGAGUAACACGUGGGCAACCUGCCCCAAGGAGCGGGACAACCCGGGGAAACCCGGGCUAAUACCGCAUGUUCCGUGGCGCCUCAAGGCGCCUCGGGAAAUGGUAGCUUCGGCCUCCGCCUUGGGAUGGGCCCGCGGCGCAUUAGCUUGUUGGUGAGGUAACGGCUCACCAAGGCGACGAUGCGUAGCUGGUCUGAGAGGACGAUCAGCCACACUGGGACUGAGACACGGCCCAGACUCCUACGGGAGGCAGCAGUGGGGAAUCUUGCGCAAUGGACGGAAGCCUGACGCAGCAACGCCGCGUGAGGGAAGACGGCCUGGUGUAACU